rnacentral:rRNA from 1 species
GAUGAACGCUGGCGGCGUGCCUAAUACAUGCAAGUCUAGCGAACGGACGAGAAGCUUGCUUCUCUGAUGUUAGCGGCGGACGGGUGAGUAACACGUGGAUAACCUACCUAUAAGACUGGGAUAACUUCGGGAAACCGUAGCUAAUACCGGAUAAUAUUUUGAACCGCAUGGUUCAAAAGUGAAAGACGGUCUUGCUGUCACUUAUAGAUGGAUCCGCGCUGCAUUAGCUAGUUGGUAAGGUAACGGCUUACCAAGGCAACGAUGCAUAGCCGACCUGAGAGGGUGAUCGGCCACACUGGAACUGAGACACGGUCCAGACUCCUACGGGAGGCAGCAGUAGGGAAUCUUCCGCAAUGGGCGAAAGCCUGACGGAGCAACGCCGCGUGAGUGAUGAAGGUCUUCGGAUCGUAAAACUCUGUUACUAGGGAAGAACAUAUGUGUAAGUAACUGUGCACAUCUUGACGGUACCUAAUCAGAAAGCCACGGCUAACUACGUG